GAGUUUGAUUCUGGCUCAGGACAAACGCUGGCGGCGUGCAUAACACAUGCAAGUCGAACGAAAUCUACAUGAUUUAGUGGCGAACGGGUGAGUAACACGUGAGAAACCUGCCUUACACAGAGGGAUAGCCGUUGGAAACGACGAUUAAUACCUCAUGACACCGUGACAUCGCAUGAUGAUGCGGUCAAAGAUUUAUCGGUGUAAGAUGGUCUCGCGCCUGAUUAGCUGGUUGGUGGGGUAACGGCCUACCAAGGCGACGAUCAGUAGCCGAUCUGAGAGGGUGGACGGCCACAUUGGGACUGAGACACGGCCCAAACUCCUACGGGAGGCAGCAGUGGGGAAUUUUGCACAAUGGGGGAAACCCUGAUGCAACGACGCCGCGUGAACGAAGAAGGCUUUCGGGUUGUAAAGUUCUGUCCUUGGUGAAGAUAA
rnacentral:rRNA from 1 species